rnacentral:rRNA from 1 species
AUGGCUCAGGAUGAACGCUAGCGACAGGCUAACACAUGCAAGUCGAGGGGCAGCAUAAAAGUAGCAAUACGUUGGUGGCGACCGGCGCACGGGUGAGUAACGCGUAUGCAACCUACCUAUCAGGAGGGGAAUAACCCGGCGAAAGUCGGACUAAUACCGCAUAAAACAGGGGCACCGCAUGGUGAUAUUUGUUAAAGAGAUUCGCUGAUAGAUGGGCAUGCGUUCCAUUAGGUAGUUGGUGAGGUAACGGCUCACCAAGCCGACGAUGGAUAGGGGAACUGAGAGGUUGGUCCCCCACACUGGUACUGAGACACGGACCAGACUCCUACGGGAGGCAGCAGUGAGGAAUAUUGGUCAAUGGGCGGGAGCCUGAACCAGCCAAGUCCGCGUGAAGGAAGAAGGAUCUAUGGUUCGUAAACUUCUUUUGCAGGGGAAUAAAGUGCAGGACGUGUCCUGUUUUGUAUGUACCCUGAGAAUAAGGAUCGGCUAACUCCGUGCCAGCCGCCGC